GGAUAUGCUGGAGAGCUUCUCGUACCUAUAAGGAAUAUUUCACUAGUAAGCAUCCUUCCUCUGGGCCUGCCAUCCUAACUGGCAAGGGCACAGAAGGCAGCUGUGCUCACACGGCUCUAAGAGCUCCCUUCUGAGGCAUUCCUCUGACCCAAGGAGGAACAACACACAGAACAAGCAGCAAGGCACAACUCCUUUUCUCUGAGGGGCAACUGGACAGCCUUUAAACCUUCAAAAACUAGGGAUUGAUUUUCACAGCUUCUGACUUCAGCACUGCAUCAACCAGGCACGUCCUUCUCCCCUCCAGUGUCUGGUCCUGCUGGGGUUCCCACAGACUGACCAUCAGCAUUGGCCGAGUCCUCAGGCUUCCCUGGAGGACUGCUAAGCCCUGUGCCCUGGUCCACGGAGGACGGAGUGCUUUUUGGCAGUCCUCUGCUUGCAUCCCUACUUGCUCGUCCCUCGUCAGGGCCAUCUUGGGACACAGAAGGGGAUUUGGUGGCCUGCGUGUCUUCCCUCUGCAGGACUGUCUGUUUUCUCAUCUCACUGGGACUACUCAGCUUCUCCUGUGGGGAGUCCCUGUCUAAUUCCAUAGAGCAUUCCUCUUUCACUUCCUCACCAAUGUCCUGCUUGGGGAAGUUGUUGGAGAUUUCCACCAUGCAAUCCUCAGCUUCCAUCUUGACCAUAUUUAAUAAAUCCUUCGAUGAAGAGCUCA
rnacentral:lncRNA from 1 species